rnacentral:lncRNA from 1 species
UCAGGAAUGUAUUUGAACAUCACCAUAGGAAAGGUUUUUGAGUUUGUGCAAAGGUUUUAACGGUACACAGACAUGGCUAGGGUGAUCCCAUAGCUAUUAGCUACUAGACAAAAGUUUCUCACUUGAAGUAAGGAAACUGUGUUAGCUUGAAAUGUUUUACAGGGUGGGAAUCCAAAUCCAGGCUGAUAGUAUCUGUGGAUCUCCUGUACCCAACAGACUGUCACUGGAGAGCACCAGAUUCCCUGAUGAGGUUGGCUACGAGACUCCUAAGACUUUUGAAGUGCAGGAUGGCCACACUGAAUCAGAGCAGUGUCCUGUCUGGAAGGUGCUAGGCUGAGACCUU